rnacentral:lncRNA from 10 species
CAGACAUGCCUUGUAUUCUAGUGGAUGGAUCACCACUCCUACCCCCUCCUCCUCUUACAGACUGUGCAUUUACCCUGUUUAGAAAAGUUUAAGUCUUAGCCAGUCAGGAUCAGUUUAGAUUGUGCAGUCCAACCCUAGACACAGGGACAGGAACUGCAUUAGGGAUAAAAACCACUUCUCUCCUUUGUUCAGUGUGCUCUUGCAAUCGUAACUGAUGCAGGCAGCACCCUUCUGCAGAAGCAAAUUGCCUUGCUGAGAAAAAUUUUGCGUAAGUGCUGGUUCUUCCCUGCAGCACCGAGCAUUUGUUUCCAACAAGCCUGGGGGCUCAUCUGGGAUUCCCAUUCUCCUCCAGGGAAGGGUCUCAGAUCACCUCUUGUGGGGAGAUACAUCCAGCUGCCUCAUUGUGGUGGUCUCAGGGGUAAGGAAUCGAGACCCAACCAGCGUGACAAAUAAACAUGGAUCCUCAGCAACAUGGGAAGAAAAGGCCUACAGAUACCGGGGUGACCAGGUAACUCUAUGCACAGACCAAGACUUUCCAAAAACAUCUGUUGAUCAUUGGUUGUCUGUUCAUAAUUAAGAGAGAAAAACUAAAAGCAAUUUGAAGAUUUUAUAACAUGGACAGGAGGGCUUGGGAAAUAGUGAAGAUCCCCUAUUUGGAGUGGGAAAAGAUAUUACCUUGGAUUUGCCCAGUACAAGUUCCUAACAUAUUCUGAAACAUUCCAGAAAUAAGAGGCUGCCUCCAUGAACAUUUUUUUAGCCAGUACUCUUUACGGUAAAAACAAGAAAUUUGGACACACAAAGAAAAGACACCAAGUGCACGAGUACCCAGAAGGACAACCAUGUGAAGAGGCAGUGAGAAGGUGCCACCUGCAAGCCCAGGAGAGAAGUUGCCACCUGCAAGCCCAGGAGAGAAGUUUUGGAAGAAACCACACCUGCUGACACCUUGGUCUCCAACUUCCAGUCCCAGAGUGAGAAGAAAAUAAAUUUCUGUUAUUUUUACCACCCAGUCUGUGAUCAUUUGUUACGGCACGUCUAGCAAACUAAUGUAGUCUUCCAGUAGGCUUUA